rnacentral:rRNA from 1 species
UUGAACGCUGGCGGCAGGCCUAACACAUGCAAGUCGAACGGGUAACAGGAAGCAGCUUGCUGCUUCGCUGACGAGUGGCGGACGGGUGAGUAAUGUCUGGGAAGCUGCCUGAUGGAGGGGGAUAACUACUGGAAACGGUAGCUAAUACCGCAUAAUGUCGCAAGACCAAAGAGGGGGACCUUCGGGCCUCUUGCCAUCGGAUGUGCCCAGAUGGGAUUAGCUUGUUGGUGGGGUAACGGCUCACCAAGGCGACGAUCCCUAGCUGGUCUGAGAGGAUGACCAGCCACACUGGAACUGAGACACGGUCCAGACUCCUACGGGAGGCAGCAGUGGGGAAUAUUGCACAAUGGGCGCAAGCCUGAUGCAGCCAUGCCGCGUGUAUGAAGAAGGCCUUCGGGUUGUAAAGUACUUUCAGCGGGGAGGAAGGGAGUAAAGUUAAUACCUUUGCUCAUUGACGUUACCCGCAGAAGAAGCACCGGCUAACUCCGUG